AACGCGAAGAACCUUACCUGGGUUUGACAUGCACAGGACGACUGCAGAGGUGUGGUUUCCCUUGUGGCCUGUGUGCAGGUGGUGCAUGGCUGUCGUCAGCUCGUGUCGUGAGAUGUUGGGUUAAGUCCCGCAACGAGCGCAACCCUUGUCUCAUGUUGCCAGCACGUUAUGGUGGGGACUCGUGAGAGACUGCCGGGGUCAACUCGGAGGAAGGUGGGGAUGACGUCAAGUCAUCAUGCCCCUUAUGUCCAGGGCUUCACACAUGCUACAAUGGCCGGUACAAAGGGCUGCGAUGCCGUGAGGUGGAGCGAAUCCUUUCAAAGCCGGUCUCAGUUCGGAUCGGGGUCUGCAACUCGACCCCGUGAAGUCGGAGUCGCUAGUAAUCGCAGAUCAGCAACGCUGCGGUGAAUACGUUCCCGGGUCUUGUACACACCG
rnacentral:rRNA from 1 species